rnacentral:rRNA from 1 species
AUUGAACGCUGGCGGCAGGCUUAACACAUGCAAGUCGAGCGGGGGAAGGUAGCUUGCUACCGGACCUAGCGGCGGACGGGUGAGUAAUGCUUAGGAAUCUGCCUAUUAGUGGGGGACAACAUCUCGAAAGGGAUGCUAAUACCGCAUACGUCCUACGGGAGAAAGCAGGGGAUCUUCGGACCUUGCGCUAAUAGAUGAGCCUAAGUCGGAUUAGCUAGUUGGUGGGGCAAGGGCCUACCAAGGCGACGAUCUGUAGCGGGUCGGAGAGGAUGAUCCGCCACACUGGGACUGAGACACGGCCCAGACUCCUACGGGAGGCAGCAGUGGGGAAUAUUGGACAAUGGGGGGAACCCUGAUCCAGCCAUGCCGCGUGUGUGAAGAAGGCCUUAUGGUUGUAAAGCACUUUAAGCGAGGAGGAGGCUACUUUAGUUAAUACCUAGAGAUAGUGGACGUUACUCGCAGAAUAAGCACCGGCUAACUCUGUGCCAGCAGCCGCCGUAA